rnacentral:rRNA from 1 species
GAUGAACGCUGGCGGCGUGCCUAAUACAUGCAAGUCGAGCGAACGGACGAGAAGCUUGCUUCUCUGAUGUUAGCGGCGGACGGGUGAGUAACGCGUGGAUAACCUACCUAUAAGACUGGGAUAACUUCGGGAAACCGGAGCUAAUACCGGAUGAUAUUUUGAACCGCGUGGUUCAAAAGUGAAAGACGGUCUUGCUGUCACUUAUAGAUGGAUCCGCGCUGCAUUAGCUAGUUGGUAAGGUAACGGCUUACCAAGGCAACGAUGCAUAGCCGACCUGAGAGGGUGAUCGGCCACACUGGAACUGAGACACGGUCCAGACUCCUACGGGAGGCAGCAGUAGGGAAUCUUCCGCAAUGGGCGAAAGCCUGACGGAGCAACGCCGCGUGAGUGAUGAAGGUCUUCGGAUCGUAAAACUCUGUUAUUAGGGAAGAACAUAUGUGUAAGUAACUGUGCACAUCUUGACGGUACCUAAUCAGAAAGCCACGGCUAACUACGUG